CAGCAGCAGCUGGACCUGUUGAUGUGACCUAUGCUGAUGUUGUCCUCCAAAAGAAGAACAAAGCCAAGAAGAAGAGAAAAACAGCAACCCCAUCUGAGACAGAAUCUGUCUAUUCUCUAGUGAAGCCAUACACAGCCCCCGCAGCUGGACCUGUUGAUGUGACCUAUGCUGAGGUUGACCUCCAAAAGAAGAACAAAGCCAAGAAGAAGAGAG